UACGGAGGGGGCUAGCGUUGUUCGGAAUUACUGGGCGUAAAGGGCGCGUAGGCGGCUCGAUUUGUCAGGCGUGAAAGUCCUGGGCUCAACCUGGGGACGGCGCUUGGGACGGUUGGGCUUGAGUAUGGGAGAGGUGAGUGGAAUUCCUGGUGUAGCGGUGAAAUGCGUAGAGAUCGGGAGGAACACCAGUGGCGAAGGCGGCACCCUGGACCAGCACUGACACUGAGGCACGAAAGCGUGGGGAGCAAACAGG
rnacentral:rRNA from 1 species